UACAGAGGUGGCAAGCGUUGUUCGGAAUUACUGGGCGUAAAGGGCGCGUAGGCGGUUCGUUAAGUCCUGUGUGAAAUCCCCCGGCUCAACUGGGGAACUGCACAGGAAACUAGCGGGCUUGAGUUCGGGAGAGGGAAGCGGAAUUCCGGGUGUAGCGGUGAAAUGCGUAGGUAUCCGGAGGAACACCGGUGGCGAAGGCGGCUUCCUGGACCGACACUGACGCUGAGGCGCGAAAGCUAGGGGAGCAAACGGG
rnacentral:rRNA from 1 species